GAGUUUGAUCCUGGCUCAGGACGAACGCUGGCGGCGUGCCUAAUACAUGCAAGUCGAGCGAGUCCCUUCGGGGGCUAGCGGCGGACGGGUGAGUAACACGUAGGCAACCUGCCUCUCAGAUCGGGAUAACAUAGGGGAAACUUAUGCUAAUACCGGAUAGGUUUUCGGAUCGCAUGAUCCGAAAAGAAAAGGCGGCUUCGGCUGUCACUGGGAGAUGGGCCUGCGGCGCAUUAGCUAGUUGGUGGGGUAACGGCCUACCAGGCGACGAUGCGUAGCCGACCUGAGAGGGUGACCGGCCACACUGGGACUGAGACACGGCCCAGACUCCUACGGGAGGCAGCAGUAGGGAAUUUCCACAAUGGACGAAAGUCUGAUGGAGCAACGCCGCGUGAACGAUGAGGGUCUUCGGAUUGUAAAGUUCUGUUGUCAGGGACGAACAAGUACCGUUCAAACAGGGCGGUACCUUGACGGUACCUGACGAGAAAGCCACGGCUAACUACGUGCCAGCAGCCG
rnacentral:rRNA from 1 species